rnacentral:rRNA from 1 species
AUUGAACGCUGGCGGCAUGCCUUACACAUGCAAGUCGAACGGUAACAGGUCUUCGGAUGCUGACGAGUGGCGAACGGGUGAGUAAUACAUCGGAACGUGCCUAGUAGUGGGGGAUAACUACUCGAAAGAGUGGCUAAUACCGCAUGAGAUCUACGGAUGAAAGCAGGGGAUCGCAGGACCUUGUGCUACUAGAGCGGCCGAUGGCAGAUUAGGUAGUUGGUGGGAUAAAAGCUUACCAAGCCGACGAUCUGUAGCUGGUCUGAGAGGACGAUCAGCCACACUGGGACUGAGACACGGCCCAGACUCCUACGGGAGGCAGCAGUGGGGAAUUUUGGACAAUGGGCGCAAGCCUGAUCCAGCAAUGCCGCGUGCAGGAUGAAGGCCUUCGGGUAGUAAACUGCUUUUGUACGGAACGAAAAGCCCUGGGUUAAUACCCUGGGGUCAUGACGGUACCGUAGAAUAAGCACCGGCUAACUACGUGCCAGCCGCCGCCGUAA